rnacentral:rRNA from 1 species
CACCGGCGGCUCGAGUGGUGGCCACUUUUAUUGGGUCUAAAGCGUCCGUAGCCGGCUUGGCAAGUCCCCUGGGAAAUCUGGCGGCUUAACCGUCAGGCGUCCAGAGGAUACUGCCAGGCUUGGGACCGGGAGAGGUGAAAGGUACCUCAGGGGUAGGGGUGAAAUCUUGUGAUCCCUGAGGGACCACCAGUGGCGAAGGCGUCUCACUAGAACGGGUCCGACGGUCAGGGACGAAAGCUGGGGGCACGAACCGG